rnacentral:misc_RNA from 1 species
GAUGAAGAACGUAGCGAAAUGCGAUACUUGGUGUGAAUUGCAGAAUCCCAUGAACCAUCGAGUCUUUGAACGCAAGUUGCGCCUCAAGCCAUUAGGUUGAGGGCACGUCUGCCUGGGCGUCACAUAUCGUUGCCUGAUGCCAGUUUCCUCGUGAUGGGUGACUGUGCAGGGCGAAUGAUGGCUUCCCGUGAGCAUUGUUGCCUCAUGGUUGGUUGAAAAUUGAGUCCUUGGUAGGGAGCGCCGUGAUAGAUGGUGGUUGAGUGACGAACGAGACCCAAUCAUGUGAGACCCCUACCGAAUUUGGCCUUCAUGACCCACAUGCGUCUUUGGAACGCUCAUGACGAGACCUCAGGUCAGGCGGGGCUACCCGCUGAGUUUAAGCAUAUCAAUAAGCGGAGGA